rnacentral:tRNA from 2 species
GCCGAUGUAGCUCAGUGGUAGAGCACUUGAUUCGUAAUCAGGCGGUCGCGGGUUCAAAUCCCGCCAUCGGCU